CGAAGUUAGCCGGGGCGUUCUUCUACGGUUACCGUCAUUAUCUUCACCGUUGAAAGAGCUUUACAACCCUAGGGCCUUCAUCACUCACGCGGCAUGGCUGGAUCAGGCUUGCGCCCAUUGUCCAAUAUUCCCC
rnacentral:rRNA from 1 species